UGGGGAAUCUUCCGCAAUGGACGAAAGUCUGACGGAGCAACGCCGCGUGAGUGAUGACGGCCUUCGGGUUGUAAAGCUCUGUUAAUCGGGACGAAAGGCCUUCUUGCGAAUAGUUAGAAGGAUUGACGGUACCGGAAUAGAAAGCCACGGCUAACUACGUGCCAGCAGCCGCGGUAAUACGUAGGUGGCAAGCGUUGUCCGGAAUUAUUGGGCGUAAAGCGCGCGCAGGCGGAUUGGUCAGUCUGUCUUAAAAGUUCGGGGCUUAACCCCGUGAUGGGACGGAAACUGCCAAUCUAGAGUAUCGGAGAGGAAAGUGGAAUUCCUAGUGUAGCGGUGAAAUGCGUAGAUAUUAGGAAGAACACCAGUGGCGAAGGCGACUUUCUGGACGAAAACUGACGCUGAGGCGCGAAAGCCAGGGGAGCGAACGGGAUUAGAUACCCCGGUAGUCCUGGCCGUAAACGAUGGGUACUAGGUGUAGGAGGUAUCGACCCCUUCUGUGCCGGAGUUAACGCAAUAAGUACCCCGCCUGGGGAGUACGACCGCAAGGUUG
rnacentral:rRNA from 1 species